AUCGCUGUGGCUGUGCAGGCUUGAAUGGUUCUCUGUGUCCUGCUCUGAGAUCUGCUGUUGGGUGCAUUGAGGGGACCUCAGGAAGCUCUGAGAUUUAGACAUGAUUCACACUGCUCUAGCAUCGCCCUACACUGGGGCAUCAAGCCUCCACAGGACCAAGGGCCUCCCCUCCCACUGAUGCCAGAUGAAGCCAUCCUUUGCUACAUAUAGAGCUGGAGCCAUGCAUCUCUCCAUGUAUACUCUGGUACCCAUGAAGCAACUUCAUUGGAAACUUUGCCCCAAGGAAUGGCUUAUAGCUUUCCAUUAUGUAAAAAAUUUUGUUGCUGCUUCGAUACAAGAAGUCAGGACAUUGAAUCUUUCAGUGUCUAUUGUUCAUUAUAUUGAUAUUUUAUCAGCUGAUCCCUCUGAAGGAGUUUUACUACAAGCCUUGGCUCUGAUACAAGGAGCUUUAAAAUUUUGGAGUGGUUGUUGUUCAAAGGCAGUAUCUUCUGGCCUCCUCCAAGGGGCUGGCUUCAAGUCUCCAGCUCUGCCCUCUGCAGCACUCUAGGCUCAGGUGGAUCCACUUCACUGAUGCUGCUAUUCUUGGAGAUCAUACCAUGGUACUGGCAUCUCUAACAAGUGGGGUCUUCUGCUUCUAAUAGGCCCCACCAAUAGCCUCUCAUAGGCUCUCAUCACGUGAGCCAAGCCUCAACUCUUUUUCAUGACCUCUCCAUUCUUGAGCUGUCAAUUAAAACUGAGGCUGAACCUUC
rnacentral:lncRNA from 1 species